rnacentral:rRNA from 1 species
UAGGGAAUCUUCCACAAUGGACGCAAGUCUGAUGGAGCAACGCCGCGUGAGUGAAGAAGGUUUUCGGACCGUAAAGCUCUGUUGUUGGUGAAGAAGGAUAGAGGUAGUAACUGGCCUUUAUUUGACGGUAAUCAACCAGAAAGUCACGGCUAACUACGUGCCAGCAGCCGCGGUAAUACGUAGGUGCAAGCGUUGUCCGGAUUUAUUGGGCGUAAAGCGAGCGCAGGCGGAAGAAUAAGUCUGAUGUGAAAGCCCUCGGCUUAACCGAGGAAUUGCAUCGGAAACUGUUUUCUGAGUGCAGAAGAGGAGAGUAGAAACUCCAUGUGUAGCGGUGGAAAUGCGUAGAUAUAUGGAAGAAUACCAGUGGCGAAGGCGGCUCUCUGGUCUGCAACUGACGCUGAGGCUCGAAAAGCAU